CGUGCUCGUCGGGCGGGUUCGAAUACGCGCGGGUACGUUCGAGACGUAUCGACACCGUGAGCAUCCGCGGCGGGCACGU
rnacentral:tRNA from 1 species